rnacentral:ncRNA from 1 species
UUAAGCCUUGGUCCUAGGCUUUCUCUUGCUUCUUGCUGACCUGACACAUGCAAGUCUCCGCACCCCAGUGCCCAUGCACCCUUCCACGUAGCAGGUAUCAGGCACACCCUAUGGUAGCCCAUAACACCUAGCCUUUGCCACCCCCCCACGGAACUCAGCAGUGACCAACUUUAGGCCAUGAGCACCCACCCAGGCUCGACCUAGCUACAGCAUUCCGGGCCGGUAAACUCCGUGCCAGCCACCGCGGUUAUACGGAGGGCCCAAAGCAACCCCACACGGCGUAAAUUGUGACUAGAGCCCCACUUACAAACGAGGCUGGCACCAAACCUAAAGCCGUAAAACACAAAUAUGUUACGGAACCCCUAAUUUUAGCCCCUACAAAAAGAGCCCUUGACGCCACAAAGGCUAGGACACAAACUAGGAUUAGAUACCCUACUAUGCCUAACUGUUAACCUAGAUAGACCCCCCCCCACACCACUAUCCGCCAGAGAACUACACGCACGCCCGCGCAAAACUCAAAAGACUUGACGGUGCCCCAAACCAGCCUAGAGGAGCCUGUCCUUUAAAUCGAUACCCCACGUUUCACCCCACCCCUUAUUGCCAAAUUCAGCCUAUAUACCGCCGUCGCCAGCUUACCUCAUGAGAGACAUCAAUGUAAGCAAACCAGUCCCCCACUAAUACGUCAGGUCAAGGUGUAGCUAAUUAAGGGGCCAGAGAUGGGCUACAUUUUCCACAAUAGAAAACAACCAACAGCACUAUGAAAUACGUGCCAAAAGGCGGAUUUAGCAGUAAACACAGACAACAUAUGCCAAUUUGAACCCUGCUCUGGAGCGCGCACACACCGCCCGUCACCCUCACCAGAAACCCCCCCCCCACUAAAUAAACACCAAACCCUUUUACCAGGAGAGGCAAGUCGUAACAUGGUAAGCGCACCGGAAGGUGGGCUUGGACU